GGGGUAGGAAUCCUUGCGUAACGGACUAAUGGAACGGAAUGUGAACAUUAGUAGAUUAAGUCCGAUAUGACUUAGCGUUUGGUUUCCGCAUUCACC
rnacentral:ncRNA from 17 species